AGAACGAACGCUGGCGGCAGGCCUCAAACAUGCAAGUCUAGGGGGUGUAGCAAUACAUCACCGGCGGACGGGUGCGUAACACGUGGGAAUAUACCUUUUGGUUCGGAACAACGCAGGGAAACUUGCGCUAAUACCGAAUGUGUCCUUACGGAGAAAGAUUUAUCGCCAAAGGAUUAGCCCGCGUCCGAUUAGCUAGUUGGUGAGGUAAUGGCUCACCAAGGCUCCGAUCGGUAGCUGUUCUGAGAGGAAGAUCAGCCACACUGGGACUGAGACACGGCCCAGACUCCUACGGGAGGCAGCAGUUGGGAAUCUGGACAAUGGGGAAACCCUGAUCCAGCCAUGCCGCGUGAGUGAUGAAGGCCUUCGGGUUGUAAAACUCUUUCGGACGGGACGAUAAUGACGGUACCCGUAGAAGAAGCUCCGGCUAACUUCGUGCCAGCAGCCGC
rnacentral:rRNA from 1 species